GCGCCGUUAGCUCAGCUGGUAGAGCAGCUCCCUCUUAAGGAGACGGUCGGGGGUUCGAUCCCCUCACGGCGCACCA
rnacentral:tRNA from 2 species